GGAAGAAACUCUACAUGUUCCUGCGGCGCUCCGGCCUCUACUACUCCACUAAAGGAACAUCCAAGGAGCCCCGACACCUGCAGCUGCUGUCAGAAUCUGGAGGACAGUAACAUCUUCACCAUCAUCACGGGACGAAAAGCUCCACAACGCUCCCACAGAAUACCAGUUCUGCAUCAAGCCCAGCAAAGUGAGGAGCGACUGUAAGGAGCUUAAGAUGCUGUGUGCUGAGACGAACAGAGCAG